rnacentral:tRNA from 1 species
CUGGUUAGCUCAAUUGGUAGAGCGCCUCACUGGAAACGGAGAAGUCCCUGGUCCGAUUCCAGGACUAG